rnacentral:rRNA from 1 species
AUGCAAGGUUCAUUACCAGCGCAUGUACGUACAGUUUUGCCAUGCUUGGCCACUAUAAUGCAAGAAGAUGGGAACGGCAAGGUAACAUCCGUACCCGGGAAUGAAAGUCUAGCUUUGCCAAAAGCAAUGUGCGAAGCAAACGGUGAGGAGUUACCCCUGAAGGUACAAGGAGCCAUGCAAAUAAUGUCGUCUCCGAAGGCACAAGAGACGAGGACAACGCCACCUACACCUGUACUGCUACAACCGGUGUUACACCUGUAUUCGGAGAAGACUCUUGGGACGAUUGACCCGGCAAAAGUGAAAGGGAGUGGGCGACGGUGUCUAGCAAGCGCCGAGGAACCGGCGAAAUUUGAGGACGCAAAUAAGGAGAAGUGUUGGCGUCAUACUAUGAAAGAAGAGUUGGGGUCGAUCCAUGACAAUAAUUCAUGGGAGCUUAUGGAUCUUCCCAACGAUGAAAAGGCUAUGGAGCUCAAGUGGGAAUUUAAGGUCAAGAAAGAUGUUGAAGGGUGCAUGAAGCACAAAGUGAGGUUUGUAGCCAAAGAGUAUGUGCAAGAGGAAGGUGUGGAUUUUGAAGAAGUGUUCGUUCCCAUUGCAAAGAUGGAGUCGGUGAGAUUACUCAUCUCUCUCGCGGCUCAGGAAUCAUGGAAAGUACAUCACAUGGAUGUAAACUCCGCGUUUUUGAAUGGCUAG